rnacentral:rRNA from 1 species
AGCGCAUGUGCUGUGAGCUCGAUGAGUAGGGCGGGACACGUGGUAUCCUGUCUGAAUAUGGGGGGACCAUCCUCCAAGGCUAAAUACUCCUGACUGACCGAUAGUGAACCAGUACCGUGAGGGAAAGGCGAAAAGAACCCCGGCGAGGGGAGUGAAAAAGAACCUGAAACCGUGUACGUACAAGCAGUGGGAGCACCCUUUGGGGUGUGACUGCGUACCUUUUGUAUAAUGGGUCAGCGACUUAUAUUCUGUAGCAAGGUUAACCGUAUAGGGGAGCCGGAGGGAAACCGAGUCUUAACCGGGCGUUAAGUUGCAGGGUAUAGACCCGAAACCCGGUGAUCUAGCCAUGGGCAGGUUGAAGGUUGGGUAACACUAACUGGAGGACCGAACCGACUAAUGUUGAAAAAUUAGCGGAUGACCUGUGGCUGGGGGUGAAAGGCCAAUCAAACCGGGAGAUAGCUGGUUCUCCCCGAAAGCUAUUUAGGUAGCGCCUCGUGAAUUCAUCUCCGGGGGUAGAGCACUGUUUCGGCUAGGGGGCCAUCCCGGCUUACCAACCCGAUGCAAACUGCGAAUACCGGAGAAUGUUAUCACGGGAGACACACGGCGGGUGCUAACGUCCGUCGUGAAGAGGGAAACAACCCAGACCGCCAGCUAAGGUCCCAAAGUCAUGGUUAAGUGGGAAACGAUGUGGGAAGGCCCAGACAGCCAGGAUGUUGGCUUAGAAGCAGCCAUCAUUUAAAGAAAGCGUAAUAGCUCACUGGUCGAGUCGGCCUGCGCGGAAGAUGUAACGGGGCUAAACCAUGCACCGAAGCUGCGGCAGCGACACUCAGGUGUUGUUGGGUAGGGGAGCGUUCUGUAAGCCUGCGAAGGUGUGUCGUGAGGCAUGCUGGAGGUAUCAGAAGUGCGAAUGCUGACAUAAGUAACGAUAAAGCGGGUGAAAAGCCCGCUCGCCGGAAGACCAAGGGUUCCUGUCCAACGUUAAUCGGGGCAGGGUGAGUCGACCCCUAAGGCGAGGCCGAAAGGCGUAGUCGAUGGGAAACGGGUUAAUAUUCCCGUACUUGGUGUUACUGCGAAGGGGGGACGGAGAAGGCUAUGUUGGCCGGGCGACGGUUGUCCCGGUUUAAGCGUGUAGGUGUGUGUUCCAGGUAAAUCCGGUUCACUUUAACACUG